GACAGAGGGUGCUAGCGUUAAUCGGAAUUACUGGGCGUAAAGGGCUCGCAGGCGGUUUAGUAAGUCAGAUGUGAAAGACCCGGGCUUAACCUGGGGCGGUCAUUUGAGACUGCUGAACUAGAGUAAGGUAGAGGAAAGUGGAAUUUCCGGUGUAGCGGUGAAAUGCGUAGAUAUUGGAAGGAACACCAGUGGCUAAGGCGACUUUCUGGACCUUAUCUGACGCUCGUGAGCGAAAGCGUUGGUAGCAAACAGG
rnacentral:rRNA from 1 species